rnacentral:rRNA from 1 species
AUACGUAGGUGGCAAGCGUUGUCCGGAUUUACUGGGUGUAAAGGGCGCGUAGGCGGGGAUGCAAGUCAGGUGUGAAAUCUAUGGGCUUAACCCAUAAACUGCACUUGAAACUGUAUUUCUUGAGUGUCGGAGAGGUAGAUGGAAUUCCUAGUGUAGCGGUGAAAUGCGUAGAUAUUAGGAGGAACACCAGUGGCGAAGGCGACUUACUGGACGAUAACUGACGCUGAGGCUCGAAAGCGUGGGGAGC